UGUAGGAGUGAGCCUGCUCGCGAAAGCGCUGGGUCAUUCAGCAUUGAUGUUGGCUGACACUACGCCAUCGCGAGCAGGCUCACUCCUACA
rnacentral:antisense_RNA from 1 species